UACGGAGGAUGCGAGCGUUAUCCGGAUUUAUUGGGUUUACAGGGAGCGCAGGCGGAUUUUUAAGUCAGCGGUCAAAUCGUGGGGCUCAACCUCCGCCCGCCGUUGAAACUGACGGUCUUGAGUGGGCGAGAAGUAUGCGGAAUGCGUGGUGUAGCGGUGAAAUGCAUAGAUAUCACGCAGAACUCCGAUUGCGAAGGCGGCAUACCGGCGCCCAACUGACGCUGAAGCACGAAAGCGUGGGUAUCGAACAGG
rnacentral:rRNA from 1 species